rnacentral:rRNA from 1 species
UACGUAGGGCGCAAGCGUUGUCCGGAAUUAUUGGGCGUAAAGGGCUCGUAGGCGGUUUGUCGCGUCGGGGAGUGAAAACCAGGUGCUUAACACCUGGCUUGCUUUCGAUACGGGCAGACUAGAGGUAUUCAGGGGAGAACGGAAUUCCUGGUGUAGCGGUGAAAUGCGCAGAUAUCAGGAGGAACACCGGUGGCGAAGGCGGUUCUCUGGGAAUGACCUGACGCUGAGGAGCGAAAGUGUGGGGAGCGAACAGG